CGUAGGGUGCAAGCGUUAAUCGGAAUUACUGGGCGUAAAGCGUGCGCAGGCGGUUUUGUAAGACUGUCGUGAAAUCCCCGGGCUCAACCUGGGAAUGGCGAUGGUGACUGCAAGGCUAGAGUUUGGCAGAGGGGGUAGAAUUCCACGUGUAGCAGUGAAAUGCGUAGAUAUGUGGAGGAACACCGAUGGCGAAGGCAGCCCCCUGGGUCAAAACUGACGCUCAUGCACGAAAGCGUGGGGAGCAAACAGGAUUAGAUACCCUGGUAGUCCACGCCCUAAACGAUGUCUACUAGUUGUCGGGUCUUAAUUGACUUGGUAACGCAGCUAACGCGUGAAGUAGACCGCCUGGGGAGUACGGUCGCAAGAUUA
rnacentral:rRNA from 1 species